ACUUAUCUAGCUCAGUUGGUAAAUACAAGGCUUUUAACCUUGUGGUUGUGGGUUCGAGCCCCACGGUGGGCA
rnacentral:tRNA from 1 species